CAGGUGGCGUUUUACAUACAUUACUCAAUGGACUACGAAGGAGACUUUACAAUUAAUAACAAAUCUCAAGACAGACAGUGUAUAUUUAAAUUGGACCUCAUUGGAAAUGUGCUGGACUCCGGCGUAAUGGGCGUUCCUGAUGGUCAUUACGUGUUGUAGACAAAGUAGCCACAACUAUCAGGAAAAAGAAUAUCCGGACUCAGUCGUGAAAGGGCAACAGAACUUACCAACUAUUCAUAGAUAGCCAAAAAUUGUGUCACUCAUCAAGCUUCCAGCUGGGCUUUCUUUCCAAAAAAAUUAUGGAUAUAAAAUUCUGUAUAUGAAAUAUUAAUUAAAAUAUAGUGUAAAUUUUAUUUUUUAAAUGUUUCCUCUGCAAUAAUCUCAAAAAUAAAUCUUAGUAAUAUGUAGUAAUUCUUGUAGGCUUUAUGUUUAUUAAUAUUUAUUAUUACUGCUAAUGUUUAUCUUAUUAAUAGAGAAAGUAACUUGUUUGGUGUAAAGAAUAUAGACAUAUAAGAAAAUAAAAUAUAAAUUUUGAGGAUUAAAAUCAGAUCUAUUGAUUUUUGCCGGAUGUACAUAAUAUAUAGGCCUACACUAUAUAAAUAUAAAAUGUAUAUAUAAUUAUAUCACAACUUGAUUUCAAUGCUUGAAAAUAAAUAUCAAAUGGAAUUGUGCA